UGCUAAGGAAAGGAAAAAAUUUAGUGGAAGGAAAAAAAUUAAGUCAGUAUAAGUUGCCAGCUCACAAGUAAACCAAUUUCAAAAUAAAGAUCCGACACGGGGGUGGGUCUACCUUCUCUGACCACGACUGGCAAUAACCUUGCUCUGCUCUCUCUUCUUAUCCCAUACUGGGCAUUCUAUUAUGUAAUUAUCUUUACUGACCAUAACAAUUCUGUAAUGUUCUCUUGGUUGUACCGUAAGUUCUUUGAGAGUAGAAAACAUGUCACACGUAUUCUCUCAAAAAUCUAGCACAAGUUCCUAUUCAAUUACUUGUUGACUACAAGACCAACCUGAGAGUAAGAGAAACCAGGACAGCUUUGGGGUGGGCAGAACCCUAGGAUGGCUCCCAAUUUCCCAGCCCCACCAAGGGGAUGACACUUGGAUAAUCCCUCCCUUGAGGGCGGUGGCAUAGCCACUCCCUCCAUUAGUUUACAUUGUACCGCAAAGGAUGACACUGCACUAAGACGCAGGCUUAGCUGACUGAAGGAGAAGACGUGACCUACUUACUACGUGGAAGGGCUACACGGCCAGGAGCUGCGGGGCCGCUAGAAGCUGAGGGCAGCCUCGCCUGCAGCCAACAAGCAGAAGACCCAGUCCUGCAGCUGCAAGGAGCUGCCUGUGCCAAGGGAACAGGACCCACGCAGCAGAAGGGAGCCAGCCCGGCCAGGCCAGGCCCUCCUGAACUUCUGAUCAACUAAAACUGGGAGAUAAUCUACGGGGGUUGUUUUUAAGCUGCUAAGCCUGUGGUGACUUGUUAUGUAGCACAGAAAACUAAUAUAAACUUUUAAAAGCAUUCAACUCUCACUUGGAGAGAACCAAAUACUCUCUCGUUUUACUAACUAUAAGCACAAUAAAACCUUGAUAUAAUGGACUAAUUUGGGCAACAGGGUGUCCAAGCCAAAAGUCUGUUAUAUAAUGAAGUAGAUUUUCCAAAUGUGUGCAUAGUCUGUGCCCCAGCAAUUUCAGUGUUAGGAAUUUAGCUUAAGGAUAUAUUGGCAAAAGCACACCCUGGUAGAUUUACAAGGAUAUUCCUAUGUGUUCACACAGUGGAAUGUACUAACACAGAAAUGGGCGAUGUAAGCCAGUAAGGAUCUCAGAUAUAUUACUGAAAAACUAAGGUCCUGAGCGUACAGUAUGAUCUCUUCUAUAGUAACCAAAUAAGAAAUGCAUAAAAAUUUCUGGAAGAUUUGAGUAAAAAUUGUUAAUAGUGGUUUUAGAGAAGAGAUCUAUGGGGUGAGAGUUGGUAAGAUGAAGGACACUUUUCAGUUUAAUUCUGUCUGUAAAGUUUUCAUUCCCACCACAGGCAAUCUUUCAUUUUAAAUAAUUUGUGCCAUUCGGUUAUUAUCUGCCUGGUCUUCGGAUGCCCUCAAAUUAAAUCUGGAAAGAGGGCAACAAAGCUUAAAGUAAAGAAGAAAUAAAUGUUUACGAAGAUUAACAUAUUCCAGGUCUUGUCAGGUACGACCCUCUCUUAUCCCCACAAAAAUCCUAUGAGGCAAGGGUCAACUUAUGAGGUGUAGUAACUUGCUCCAGAUCAUAUAACUUGAAAAACAUUCAUUUUUAUCCUUCCUUUUGGAACUUAACAGUAUAAUUCAAUUUACGAUUAUAUGUAUAUAUUUCAUCUAGAAAGGGAGAUUAAAUAGUUAAGAAAACCUGCCCUGGUAGGUAGCUCAGUUGGUUCACCAAGUUUGUGGGUUUGAUCCUCAGUCAGAGAACUUACAAGAAUCAACCAAUAAAUGCAUCAAUAAGUGCAACAACAAAUCAAUGUCUCUGGUCUCUCUUCUCUCUCUCUCUUUUUCCCCCGUCCCCUUCCUCUCUCUAAAAUCAAUAAAUAAAAUUUAAAAAAGAAAACCUAAGGUAAGGACUUGACCAACAAUUGUUUGAAUCCCCUAAGUACACAGUAACUAACUUUCUAAACCUAAAACAACAAGAAUAAUUUCUGUCAUCUAUUUUGACAUUUUGUUUGUAAACAAUGUUAAAGUAAAGAGGUAGCCGAGCUAGGAAGCCUUGCUGUGGCUUCCAUGGUAAGUAACCAGAUGAUUUCAUAGUCCUGGCACGUUCUUUAAACAGGCUCCACUUUCAAAAACCUUUCUCAUGCAGUUCUUGACUCACCUAAGCCCUUGUAACAGAACGGAAGUGGGGAAGAUCUAAACAGCAUAAGAUCUCUAAAAGACGUUUCUUCAACAAUGUAAGCAUUACUCCAAGCUGGUAUUUCUUAAAGUAAGGAUCCGAACUACAGGGGAGGCGUCAGUGACUGACGAAGCACGUCCCCUCUGAUCUGGUACCCAAAGGCCCCACAAUGGAAAACCAGGGUUUUGAGACAAACCCAGGUACAAAUUUUGUUCUGCUACUUAUAGCUGCCUAUAUGAUACAAUAAAGUAGAAAGUAUAUUCAUGAAAAAGGUUAAAGGAGUUUACACAAAAUUUAUGUUUACCUCUGGAUGCUGGGAUUAAGAUUAAGAUGAUUGUUUUCCUUUCUACAAUCUCAUAGUGUCUAAAUUUUCUAUGGUAACACUUUUUAAAUUAAUCUGCUUUCCAUGCCGUGUGAACUUUGAUUCUGUGUAAAUCCAUUCACACUGGGGAGAAGGAGCUACGCUUUGUUGCCAUGAUGGUGCCGUAUUUUGCUCACUCACCUCCCUCCAUAGGCAUGAAAGACAACAGAUUCCUUCCCUGUGCUGAUGCAGCCAGUGAUGGUCUCCAACAUUCCCGAGUUGACCAUUUUAUACAUAAGUAAGCGUGUCUUGGGAUCAACUGCUUUUUCCUACAAGAGACACGGCACAAAGAAUGACAACGUUCACCACGUAACAUCAUCUGAGCCGGUGCUAAUAGCAAACAUUCAAAAUACAUAUCUUUUUUUAAACUUGUAACAGGCUCUUAAGAUUAGCAAUCUAGAUACAGUUCAUCCCUUUAACUUUAAUUCUAAUGUCUUUGAAAAUUAACAUCUAAAAGAAUCAUCAGAAUUCAGACAUUAGCUUAGUCAAAAUCAUAUUUUAUCUCCAAAGUUUAAACAACUCCCCCAGUGUACUUACCAUUAGUUUGUUUUUCUAAAGGUUUAAAAAUUACUUUAUUCUCAAGAUAUUAGACACUGUCUUCGUCAAUGUAAAGCAUUAGAGACUUAUAAAUUAUUACAAAAUGUCAUAAUUUCUUUAAUAUCUUAGAACAUUAAUAUGCAAUGUAAACUAUACAAUUCAAAUUAUAACCACUAAACUGUAGGUUUUAAAUAAGUGAUUAAUAACCAUUACAUUAAAGCUGAAAAGUCUAAUAAGCAAAGCUACUGGGUUUAUUUACAUCUUAGAUUUGAAAAACCAAUCUUGUGAAAAAAAUACCAAACAGAAAAAAAUUUAAGGUUACUUACGGCAGUAGAGUGUUCUUUUUUCUCGUGGAGGCGGGCACUUCGACGUUCUUCUGAGUAGGCAUGUUGUUUUAAAGCAUUGAAAACAUGGUUUGAUAGCUUUAAAUCCAUUCCAAUUCCAUCUCCUACCUGAAAC